AGUUUGAUCCUGGCUUAGGAUGAACGCUAGCUACAGGCUUAACACAUGCAAGUCGAGGGGCAGCAUGAAGUUUGCUUGCAAACUUGAUGGCGACCGGCGCACGGGUGAGUAACGCGUAUCCAACCUUCCCCUUAGUAGAGGAUAGCCCGGCGAAAGUCGGAUUAAUACUCUAUGUUGUGUUUUUGAGGACAUCUGACGAACACCAAAGGUUCACCGCUAAGGGAUGGGGAUGCGUCUGAUUAGCUUGUUGGCGGGGUAACGGCCCACCAAGGCGACGAUCAGUAGGGGUUCUGAGAGGAAGGUCCCCCACAUUGGUACCGAGACACGGACCAAACUCCUACGGGAGGCAGCAGUGAGGAAUAUUGGUCAAUGGGCGAGAGCCUGAACCAGCCAAGUAGCGUGCCAGGAAGACUGCCCUAUGGGUUGUAAACUGCUUUUAUCAGGGAAUAAAGUUCGGCACGUGUGCUGUUUUGUAUGUACCUGAUGAAUAAGGACCGGCUAAUUCCGUGCCAGCCGCCGC
rnacentral:rRNA from 1 species